GACGAACGCUGGCGGCGUGCUUAACACAUGCAAGUCGAACGGAAAGGCCCUGCUUUUGUGGGGUGCUCGAGUGGCGAACGGGUGAGUAACACGUGAGUAACCUGCCCUUGACUUUGGGAUAACUUCAGGAAACUGGGGCUAAUACCGGAUAGGAGCUCCUGAUGCAUGGUGGGGGUUGGAAAGUUUCGGCGGUUGGGGAUGGACUCGCGGCUUAUCAGCUUGUUGGUGGGGUAGUGGCUUACCAAGGCUUUGACGGGUAGCCGGCCUGAGAGGGUGACCGGCCACAAUGGGACUGAGAUACGGCCCAGACUCCUACGGGAGGCAGCAGUGGGGAAUAUUGCACAAUGGGCGGAAGCCUGAUGCAGCAACGCCGCGUGCGGGAUGACGGCCUUCGGGGUGUAAACCGCUUUCGCCUGUGACGAAGCGUGAGUGACGGUAAUGGGUAAAGAAGCACCGGCUAACUACGUG
rnacentral:rRNA from 1 species